rnacentral:tRNA from 1 species
AAAUUGGUCGGAGCGAGAGGAUUCGAACCUCCGACCCCCUGCUCCCGAAGCAGGUGCGCUACCAGGCUGCGCUACG